ensembl:lncRNA novel transcript, antisense to ELOVL6
AUCCGCCUGAGGAGCGGCAGACAGAGGAGGACGGUGAAGUAGGAGCGCUGCAAGGAGAAAGGAAGGACACGAGGGAUGGAGAGACAGCGAGGACCAGGGCCAAGGGCGGCGGGCGGGAGAGGGUUAAAGGCAACAGGAGACAAGGUCCUCCCUCCACUGCCUUUCACACUCCGGUUGCGGGAGAGGCCAAGCGAGAAAACCCAAAUCUAGAUGAAAACCGGGGGAGGGGAGGGGAGCACAGGUAGGCGAUCUGGACUGUGGCAUCUCUCCCGCCUUCCCUGUCGCGCAGACAUCACCCUGUGCACACACAUAUGUUCUGUGUUAUAUAAUCUAUAUAAAAGAUGCCUAUGUAGCCGCGGUUCACACAGGGGCACCCACAGACCUCGCGCUUCAUGUACCCCCCCCCCCCCAGCGUCUCCUGCACCCGGGAGACCCGAGAACUCAGCGAUCAGCUGGCUGCCCGCGAUUCAUCGCUCCAUUCACGCCCAGGCAGGGAAUACCGACAUUAAGGCACUCCGGGAAGACGCGCAGGGCUCCCGGGAACAGUAUCAGGCGAAAGCAUCACGUACCAGUUUUCCUGCAUCCAUUGGAUGGCUUCAUUCUCGUUGAACUGCUUUUCGAAUUCAUAUUCUUGUAAAGUCAACACUGACAUGUUCAUUGGGGCUGAUCUUCGGAGUCGCUACGUGUUCUCUAUACAAAAUAAAAUAAUCUGUAAAGCGCUUGAU